GAAAUGCGAUACGUAAUGUGAAUUGCAGAAUUCAGUGAAUCAUCGAGUCUUUGAACGCACAUUGCGCCCCCUGGUAUUCCGGGGGGCAUGCCUGUCCGAGCGUCAUUGCUGCCCUCAAGCACGGCUUGUGUGUUGGGCCCCCAUCCCCCCCCAAGGGGACGGGCCCGAAAGGCAGCGGCGGCACCGUGUCCGGUCCUCGAGCGUAUGGGAAGCAACUUUUUGUCACCCGCUCCUGUAGGUCCGGCCGGCGGCCUGCCCAACCCCAACCUUUUUUUCAACCAGGUUGACCUCGGAUCAGGUAGGGAUACCCGCUGAACUUAAGC
rnacentral:misc_RNA from 1 species